rnacentral:tRNA from 1 species
GCGCCCAUAGCUCAGUUGGAUAGAGCGUCGGACUUCGAAUCCGCAGGUCGCACGUUCGAGUCGUGCUGGGCGCGCCA